UACGUAGGGGGCAAGCGUUGUCCGGAAUCAUUGGGCGUAAAGAGCGUGUAGGCGGCCAGAUAAGUCCGCUGUGAAAACUCGAGGCUCAACUUCGAGCUGUCGGCGGAAACUAUCUGGCUAGAGUCCGGAAGAGGGGAGUGGAAUCCUGGUGUAGCGGUGAAAUGCGCAGAUAUCAGGAAGAACACCCGUGGCGAAGGCGGCUCUCUGGGACGGUACUGACGCUGAGGAGCGAAAGCAUGGGGAGCGAACAGG
rnacentral:rRNA from 1 species